rnacentral:snoRNA from 1 species
GGCAUUCUAGCUUAUUAAGGUGGUUGUGUUCUUUAGUGGACAAUCACUGAUUAGCUUUGGAUGCCAAAUCGAAGCCACAGCCUUGCUAAAACAGCGGCUUGAUUCUCUCCACGAGCAAGUCUCUACCUGUAGCCUGGCACA